rnacentral:rRNA from 1 species
UACGUAGGGUGCAAGCGUUGUCCGGAAUUAUUGGGCGUAAAGAGCUCGUAGGCGGUCUGUCGCGUCGGCUGUGAAAACCCGGAGCUCAACUCCGGGCCUGCAGUCGAUACGGGCAAACUGGAGUACUGCAGGGGAGACUGGAAUUCCUGGUGUAGCGGUGGAAUGCGCAGAUAUCAGGAGGAACACCAAUAGCGAAGGCAGCUCGCUGGGACGUUACUGACACUAAGGCGCGAAAGCGUGGGGAGCGAACAGG